rnacentral:rRNA from 1 species
UACGUAGGUGGCAAGCGUUGUCCGGAUUUAUUGGGUUUAAAGGGUGCGUAGGCGGUCUAUUAAGUCAGUGCUGAAAUACUCCAGCUUAACUGGAGGGGUGGCAUUGAUACUGAUGGACUUGAGUACAGAUGAGGUAGGCGGAAUUGACGGUGUAGCGGUGAAAUGCAUAGAUAUCGUCAAGAACACCGAUAGCGAAGGCAGCUUACUGGGCCGUAACUGACGCUGAGGCACGAAAGUGUGGGGAUCAAACAGG